CAAAUGACACAUCCAAGAUGAUAUCAUCGUGCUAAUCAUGAUCCGGCUAAUUGGGUUCUUCGAACCCACCUGUUGUGUAUGAUUAGUAUCGCUGGAUUGAGUUAUCUGAGAUAAUUGCGCGUUCAUGUGUUGGCUUAAAAGGGGAUAUGUAUCGAUAGUAGAAACAUUGAUCAGCAACGCUGCUAUUGGCUAUUCAGCAUGGCCAAAGAACGUGCCCAAUUUUUCUUCCAAGCAGAACAAGAGCUUUUAAUGGAAGGUUAUGCCGAAUUUGAGUCGUUAAUUAAAACGACAGGGAACACCUCAAAGUCUGCAAAAGCCAGGAGAGUGGGCUGGCAAAAAGUAGCAGACAAAUUAAAUGCAGCCACCACUGGACCCACUAGAACAUGGGAACAAGUAAAAGUGAAAUACAAGAAUAUUCUACAAAAUGCCACCAAGAAAAAGGCUGAAAAAAAAAACAGGUGGUGGUCCUGCACCACCACAAUAUACCCCAGCAGAGGAGCUGGCCAUUGGAUUGAAUGAAAACCGAACCAUUGUGGAGGGCAUCCCUGGGGGCAGCUCUUCCUCAGACCCAAAGACAGGGACCAGUAGCAGCAACACCUUCAUUACUGGUAGGCUAAAUGAGCUUUCAAUUAUCUUAGUACACUGUAAAAUUAUUUGUUGCUGCAUUAAAUGAAGUAUAAUCCAAAUGGCUGGUACAGUCAUUUCAACUCUUUGUGAAAGUGAAAACUUCUAAACUUUUAGUUAAUACAAAAUAUGUUGCCAUGAGUUAUUGAUCACAUUAUAUUUUUUACAGUGUAGUUAAUUGUAAUGACAAUCCC